GGUGGAGUGGUGGAGUGGUUAGCACACCCGUCCUGACAGUGGAAGGCCCAGAGUUCAAAUCCUGGCUGCACCA
rfam:Ixodes scapularis strain Wikel colony gcontig_1107728904246, whole genome shotgun sequence.